CACGUAGGGGGCAAGCGUUGUCCGGAAUUACUGGGCGUAAAGAGCGCGUAGGUGGUUUAGUAAGUCAGGUGUGAAAGGCCAGGGCUCAACCCUGGGACUGCACUUGAAACUGCUUGACUUGAGGGCAGGAGAGGUAAGUGGAAUUCCCAGUGUAGCGGUGAAAUGCGUAGAUAUUGGGAGGAACACCAGUGGCGAAAGCGACUUACUGGCCUGGCCCUGACACUGAGGCGCGAAAGCGUGGGGAGCGAACAGGAUUAGAUACC
rnacentral:rRNA from 1 species